CUAAAUCUUGGGUAUUAGCUGAUAAGAAGAGGUGUCAGAGGUGUUAUGAAACAAAUCAGAUGAAUAAUGGGCGAACUGUUAUCGCUUUCACAGACCGAAGGCGCGGCGGGCAGAGCGGCCUUCUCACCCCCUUCCCUUCACUUGUCGGGAAUUGGGGCAUUUUUCAGUCGCAUCUUCGCCCUUCUUGGGGGCGGCCUUAGAUUGCCGGCAGCUGUCUUAGAUCAGAGCUGUUUAUUCCACAGCGAAACCACUUUGGAUCGAGACGAGGGAGAGAGCGCAGAGCGGGGGCACCCUCCCGAGCCUUUGAAGCGCCUCUGGUCGUUCGUUCUCUUCUGCUCGGCAAAGUCCAAGCCCUCCACUCUCGUCACAACGCAGAGCCCCGAGAUAAGAGAAGCGUCCUGCACACGAGCACGGUCACACGUCCGAAGUAACAGCGGACCUCCUCUCGCGUUUCCGAAGCUCGGGUGCUCGACGCCGCUAUCCGCCCCAUCCAAAGCGGUUUCUUUCCCCCUUCCCCGCUCCGCUUUUAGAAGAUAUUUCUUUAUUUGGUCAAGGAAUCCUAUCAGCGUCAGGAGAAAAGUUGUGGUUCUAAUUCUCUUAACGUAAGGAGGGGAGAGGGGAAAGAAGCUUAUCUCCCCGCUUUUUAUUUUAUUACUACUAUUGUUGUUGUUUUCAUUGGACACCGACUCGAGCACAUCGUAGCGAAUUUAGAUGCACUUGCAGGACGGGUUGUAGAGUCCACCUUCGGCAUAGGAAGGCCCUUGCGAAGCGCGGGGUGCCGAGAUGAUACAUGCAGCUCCGGAGGCUGUGGGAACCCGAGUCGGAAGCCAGCUUGCUUUUGCUUCGCUUCCCACCGCCAUCCGCUUUCCAAUCCGCGUAAAAGCCUUUUGGUUUUGUCUUAAAAGGCAUCUGAGAACCAACCGUUCGGAAUAAGCAAGGAGUGUGUGAAGGGGGAAUCACCCAAACCUGUAGGAAGCUGGAAUUGGCCCUCUGCGCUUCGACAGCGAAUAGCAGCCACCAAUCACAGAACUGCAGGGGCUGGAACGGACUUCUGGAGAUCAUUGAGACCAACACCCUGCUAAAAGUAUCCGGGAUGAUUCUGGAUUUCGAAUAACUCCAGAGAAAGACAGCCCACAAGUGUUCCAUCCCUUGGAUCAUUUUUCUGGCUCUUCUUUGGGCAUGCUCCAACAGGUGAAAGCAUUUGAAGAAAGAGUGUAAGAAGGGAGGAAAAAAAGAAGUCUUAAA
rnacentral:lncRNA from 1 species